GAUCCUGGCUCAGGAUGAACGCUGGCGGCGUGCCUAACACAUGCAAGUCGAGCGGAGCAAUCUUGAUGAAGUUUUCGGAUGGAAUCAGGAUUGACUUAGCGGCGGACGGGUGAGUAACACGUGGAUAACCUGCCUUAUACUGGGGGAUAACAGCCAGAAAUGGCUGCUAAUACCGCAUAAGCGCACGGCGCCGCAUGGCGCAGUGUGAAAAACUCCGGUGGUAUAAGAUGGAUCCGCGCCUGAUUAGCUAGUUGGCGGGGCAGCGGCCCACCAAGGCGACGAUCAGUAGCCGGCCUGAGAGGGCGACCGGCCACAUUGGGACUGAGACACGGCCCAAACUCCUACGGGAGGCAGCAGUGGGGAAUAUUGCACAAUGGGGGGAACCCUGAUGCAGCGACGCCGCGUGAGUGAAGAAGUAUUUCGGUAUGUAAAGCUCUAUCAGCAGGGAAGAAGAUGACGGUACCUGACUAAGAAGCCCCGGCUAACUACGUGCCAGCAGCCGCGGUAAUACGUAGGGGGCAAGCGUUAUCCGGAUUUACUGGAUGUAAAGGGAGCGUAGACGGCAGGGCAAGUCUGGAGUGAAAGCCCGGGGCCCAACCCCGGGACUGCUUUGGGAACUGCCAUGCUAAAGUGCUGGAGAGGUAAGCGGA
rnacentral:rRNA from 1 species